GUACAAUUUUAAAGUUACCUUAAAAUAUCACAGGGUAAUAAGCAGCACAGAAUGGACACAGAUUUGGCACCAGUUAGGUAUAUGAGAUUUAUUUCAUUUGGACUACCAGAAAAUAUUGAAUUACACUACUUGAUUUGAACUCUGAAAUGAUAUCAGACCAUCGAAAUACAUCAAUCAAGCAAACCCGUUUCCAUUGACAUGAUGAUAUAGGUGUAUGAAUUUAAAAGUUCAUCAAUAUAGAAGUGCCCCGAUUUGAUUACCUGUAUCCAAGUGGCACAUAUAUCGACUUUCGCCAACUUGAGUGUCACAUUUGUAUGUACAAUAUGUGUGACGAAAUGCGAGAAAGCCGCGCUGGCAUUCCCGUGCGGUAAUAAAAGACCUCCACUCGAAACGAUUAAGGCGAUACAAUGCAGCCGACGACUAAAAAUAGCAACAACUCAAAUUGAUGCAAAUUAAUCAUGAUUAGUCGGCCGAUGUGAAUGCCAGGUGGAAAGAAUGCGCCAUGGGAAUCCCUUUUGGACACCUGGCGCCACCUAUGGGGUAAAUGGAGGAAGCGCAAAGUGGAAACGGAUGGCUAACUUGAAAGGGGCGAGCGGAAACGGAAGUGACAAAGAAGUUGCGUGUACCAGCGACAAUUUGUCACAGGUUUUGCAUGCCAUGACAGCAUGUGCCAUGUUUUAUAGGUCAAGUUGAGAGCGACAAGUGCGAAAGGCAAACAAAGGCGAACAAUUACCAUAACAGAAUGGCCAAUCCAAUCCAAUAGCACAAUGGAAUGGAACUCAAACAGAGGCGCCGAAAGAGACCGAGAUAGGCAGAGAGAAAGAGAUUGCAAAACGCUGGCUAAUUACGCCAAUUACGACAUUUUACACAAAUUGUGGGAACUUUGCUCAGCUGGGCUGGGCAUCGCAGAAUUUGCACGAAUUUAUUGCAGGCAAUUAAGAUCUUAAUUCAAUGAACCCGCUCCCAGUCGCAUUUCCAUUUCAUUCUCAUGACAGGCAAAUGGCAUCCUGGGCAGGUACAUCGAAACUUCUGGCCAGCUUAUCAGCGUGAGACACAAAGGACAGCUCUUCAACCCGUUGACCCUUGACCCCCCAACACAUCCAACACCCCCAGCAGUCAGCAGUUGGGCAGGAAAAUGCUGCAUAGUUAAAAGUUUCCCAGGCGACAGCUUGCCUUCGACAGAAGGGGAACAGCUUGAGGUCCUCUGAUAAACAGACAU
ensembl:ncRNA lncRNA:CR45824 long non-coding RNA:CR45824